rnacentral:rRNA from 1 species
AGUCGAGAAUCUUUCACAAUGGGGGAAACCCUGAUGGAGCGACGCCGCGUGGAGGAUGACGGUCUUCGGAUUGUAAACUCCUGUCAUGAAAGAACAAGCGGAGCGGGUGAACAGCCCGCCGAGUUGAUAGUAUUUCAAGAGGAAGGGACGGCUAACUUCGUGCCAGCAGCCGCGGUAAUACGAAGGUCCCAAGCGUUGUUCGGAAUCACUGGGCGUAAAGAGUGCGUAGGCGGCGCGGAAAGUCAGAUGUGAAAUCCCGGGGCUCAACCUCGGAACGGCAUCCGAUACUCCCGCGCUCGAGGACUGGAGGGGAGUCUGGAAUUCACGGUGUAGCAGUGAAAUGCGUAGAUAUCGUGAGGAACACUAGUGGCGAAGGCGAGACUCUGGACAGUUCCUGACGCUGAGGCACGAAGGCCAGGGGAGCGAA